CAACCCGGGUCAUCGAGCAGGCCCGCGAGGCCAAAGCGGCCGGGGCCGAGCGCUUUUGCAUGGGGGCCGCGUGGCGUCAGCCGCCCG
rnacentral:tRNA from 1 species